GGGGAACAUUUUCAUACUGUAGGUGCCAGAUGAUGUACGUAAAUUAGUCUAGAAAACAAUAUACUUCCAUCUGAGGCAAAGACAGGAACCAUCUGGAUCCCCACCUGGACAGACAUCUCAACAACAAAACACAAAAGAUUACUAAACAGAAUACAACCUUCUACCUUUGCCUCCUGCUCAAGAAAGCAGUGUCUCUUGCCAGCUGUAUGUCAGCUUCCAACUCUAGCAACUGUAUUCAGGGACCCUGAGCAGGAGAACACACACUUUGGGUCUAACACAGCCAUGGCCAAUCACUGGCCCAACUUGGUCCAAAGAGGAUCUUCAUUUCUUUCUUUUCACAUAGCUGGCUCCUUUAAUUAUUAUAAUCGUCAUUAUUAAUAGUAAUCAUAAUAAAAAGAUUCAGGCAGCUGGGAAUCAAAAAGGGUUUCCUGCCAAGUCUGAUGCCAAACACUGGAACCUUUUCUCUGACACUCCCUGAAUGUUUUCAAACAUCAGCACAACUGUGAAACUAGACCUCUUCCUUAUGUAAACCAAGAGACAUGAGAUUUCACAGGAAACCAACAUUUGGUGGGACAUCACAGAAUUUUUGUGCAUGAAGGAUUACAUAAAACAAACAGCCUCGAUGACUACAAAGGCAAGUUGCAUUGAUUCACUAUCUGGAAAUCCAGUCUUGUUUAGGUCUGUUCACAGUUCAGUUUUUGCUUGUUCUCCAAGAAGCUGAAACAUGAAAGUUCAGUAUCGCUCUUCACAGUGAAGCCGGAAAGAAGAGCAAAAGAAAGUCAGUACUGGAAUGAGUUCAAUGGGAAGGAUGCACUUAGAGUGGUAAUUUUCUGUCAACCCCCCCCACCACCCGCCGCCCUUUAUUGCAACAUAUCAUUACUCUGGCUUUAUCCUUUUCCAUUUGGCAAAGUCUGACCCCCUUUCCCCCUCUGUUCCUCCCAGAGCAAAAAAGCCAAAUGUGGCUCCAUUUCAAAUAGUAUCAGACCCUGCCAACAGCAAGAAUAAAUAACUGAAAAGUCUCACAAUUCGUUUCACUUACCCCAACUUUUUUCAAAAAAUUUUAAACACACACAAUAGGCCCAAACCUUCAAGGAUGGCGCCAGGAAUACUGCAUUUUUGAUCUCCUCUCAUAGUAAAAUAAAUAGAAUGAUAGAACUUUCAAGAGGUAGUGUACAAAAAGGGACUGCUAAGGAUUUCAGAGAAACCAAUCCUUUUAAAAAGGGAGCUAGAACUAUAGAUCCAAACAAAUAGUGGUUAUUCCACACCUACCAAUGGAAGGCACCCCAAGCAGAAGAUACUUGUCCCUCCUUGCUUUAGCUCCUAGGACAUUAAAAGAUAUUUAGCCCCAGGUGCAAAGGAGUAGGUAGCCCACCAUCUGGGCAAUUGUCAUGCCAUACUUACCAGUCGAAGAAGGCACCCCAAGCAGAAGCCGCAGUUGCCCGCUACUGACUCCAUUGUUGAUUGUUACUAUUAUGCUCUCUGUGUGUCAUUUGAUUUUAUUCAGUGAUUGUACUUAAAACUAAGUUUAACAUUCAUAUUUAAAUUUAUUGUAUAUCACUUUGAAUACAAAUGUGGAAAAGUAGUUUAUACAUUAGAGAUAGAUAGAUAGAUAGAUAGAUAGAGAGAGAGAGAGAGAGAGAGAGAGAGAGCAAUGUCAUACAUAUACAUAGUGCUUGAUCGAAUAACAGCAUGAUAGACCACCUUAAGUGGUGCAGCAGGGAAAUGUUUGACUAACAAGCAGAAGGUUGCCGGUUCGAAUCCUCACUGGUACUCUAUCAGGCAGCAGCGAUAUAGGAAAAUGCUGAAAGGUAUCUUCUCAUAUUGUGCAGGAGGAGGCAAUGGUAAACCCCUCCUACCAAAGAAAACCACAGGGCUCUGUGGGUGCCAGGAAUUGAAAUAGACUCGACGGCACACUCUACCUUUAAUAUUCCACAGAUCCCCAUGUCUGAAAUUUUGCUCUUUGGAGGAGAGGCCUGUCUGAUGCUAAUGUCAAAUGUUGCUCGUUUGCAACCUAAAAACCUGCAUUAUACUUUUGCAUUCUCUAAUGCAGCAGGAGAUGAGACAGCCAUGUCUUUCCCCAUACAUUCCUUCUUCAGCCCUGUCUUCUACUCCCUGCUCUCACCAGCUGUAAUGAGCAGAGCUCUAGAUGAGCCACAAACAACAGGGGGAAGGAUCAGACAUGGCUGGACCAGAGGAGCAACAAGCAGAAGUUAAUACAGCUGCCUUAUCUACUGCAGGAAUGUAAAGGUCUAGUGGAGAUCUCUCAUUUUCAACCUGACAAUUUGAAAUAUAAGGCUGCUGAAGAAGAAGACGAAGAAGAUGAAGACAGUGGGGAUUUGAGGAGUAUUGUAUGCCCAUCCAGAUAGUUUCCCCCUUAAAGAUGGGUUUCUUCUAUUUUUAGAGCUCAGCUGGGAGAAAUCAGGUAAAAAAUGGACAUUUGCAGGAGAUAAUAUUACGGUUUACGGUAUCCUUUGAGAAGAUAGCUUAUGUCCCUGUGGAACAGGGGAGAUUGAAGAUAUGGCUCAUGUUCUCUUCUACUGUCAGCUUUAUAGAGAUAGCAGAUCUAAGCUUAUUUCCUCAGAAUUUGCUUCAUAGCCAGACCUUGAUGAUGAUUCCUAUUUAACCCUUCUUCUAGCUGACCAGAAUGAAGCCAGAUUAUAUAAGGCUGCCAAAUUCUGUUCUAUUGCCGGCAGGAUUCGACUGGAAGUUAUUAAUAACACAUAGUUUGCAGAAGGGUAUGCUUAAUAAUGAGAAUGAUAAUUGUGCUAUAUCUGAUUGCAGCAUUGUUUUGUGGCUAAUGGGCUCAGUAGUUGUGUUUUAAUUCGUCAGUUGCCUUUAUUAAUGUUAACUGCUAUUUUAUUAUAAGUACUAGUAGUUUUUGAAUUUAUUUUAGUUUACUAUUUUGCUUGUAUUUUUCUUUUAAAUGUCUUUACUUGUACUUUUUGUUUUUUCUCUGGCCAAUGACCGCACUAAAAACGGACUGACCUAGCAAAUGCCACCUCUACCCCCACAUUAGCAUGGUGUGGGAAACAUGGUGUUGGUAACUUUGUGUUUGCCUCCUAACAUAUAGUUCUGCCUUUUAGCAGAAGAAAAAGCAGCUGACUUGUUUUUAAAAGUGUACCUUUUGUUGAUGGUAUGUUUUCUAUGGUUCUAUAAUCUGCAUUUCAUAAAUUAUAUCUGUAUUUUUUAAAUCUGUGAGAAUCCUAGCAUUCUUUAUUGUUAAUGAAAAGAGCCAUCUACAGCUUCUUCUACGCACAUGUGCUGUUUCCCUCACUGAACUGAAACUAGUGCUUGCGCAGUGCCUUCUGUCGUGGUCUGUAAAGCCAAAGAUAACACAAAAUAUUCUCCUUCCCAAGUUUUGCAAAUGGCUGAUUUAGAAUUCAAAAAGCGGUUUUAAAAUAAUGUUUUAUUUCAAGUGGACACAUAAAUAAAUUCAUCUAGGGUCUAAGGCAAUGCUGAAGGGCAAACCAAGCAUUUGGCUGGCUAACAGUCAUAAAGCUGAAGUCCCAAGGAAUUAAGUCUUUAUGAAAAUGCAUUUGUAUCUGUCUGAUUUCAUACUUAAAUGCUGGCAGUCUAAUGCUCAAGCUGCAUCCAAGGUUAGGAACCCACACAUAGAUCUGAGCAAACAGAAGUAAUGGAAGGACCAGAAAGUAAACGUCAGAAGCACACAGCAAUUAAAGCUACAGUAACAACUGGAACCCUAGAAUGAGCAUAGCAAAAGCAGAGGCAUCACCCUCCAAAAUGGGGGCAGAAGCUGCCCACUCAGAUGGUGCCUACUAUUUACCAUGAUUAGCCCUGACUUCUGUCCCUGUUUCUUAUUCUUACUCUUAAAAAUGGUUUUUAGGACCCCACACUGUGAAUUGGAGUAACAGCCCAGUGUUGAUGAAUGGAGCAUCAUAGGUGGGCCAAGAUCAAUGAAUAGAUUGUGCUUUCGUUCAAAUUGUUAAAAAUUAGGAUUGGCUGAACGAAAUAGUCUGGCUCUGCCCUGAGGAAAAGAUGUGGUGGACCAGAAACAGAUUGUGGAAGAAAAGACUCCCUCAAAAUUUGGGAAAGAAAUUCAUCAUAGGAAUGUGCUAGGUGGUUUCAGGGGCAAAUUGCUGGUGGGCAAGUGUAUUCCUCCCUUAACUGGGACUGUUGCUAUACCUGGCAUUAAAACCUCUUCUAAUAUAGAUGUGUGUGUGUGAGCGUGUGUGUAUAAUUCCUUACAUAUUUUUGCAGAAUUGGGCACCACUUUGGCCCCUGCUGACUGAGCAAAGUGGUGGCUCUGUUAUGUGUUUGUUUGUUUAAUUUAUAUACCGCUUGACUCCAAAAAUUCUAGGCAAGGGGAGCCUUUGGCGGGGGAGAGCAACUGACUCUAUCCAAUCCCAUCAUUCCACGUGGGCUUGUGGGUGCAAUGUGGGCAGAAAAGAACUGCUUUUUUUGCUGCAUGCAUUGCCAGAGCAUAGAUCUUCAAAUGUGCUCUAUGUUGUAAUCUGUUGGAUUCAAGUAGCGUUUUUCUCUACUUGUGCUCCAGUUGUCCACCUUGCUGCUUCAGCUCACGUAGUUCUUUUGUAUACCACAGGGCCACUUUCGAAGUGAGUCAGAGAGGACGCUUUGGAGUGAUUAGAUCUACUGCUGUGGUGAGCCUAAGACUUCCAAUCAAGGAACUAUGCAGGAAUGCAACAGUGAAGCCAACUCAAGCCCCAGGAAGCUCACAAUUAACAUUACAGGCAGGAAGCAAAUAGAAAAGUUUGCAUGGUAAGAUGAAAUAAUAUUAAGAACAGAAGCUGGCUGGAAACCAGAAGUCACAACUCAUCAAAAGGCCAUAGCCAUGAAUUGGAACUUAAGCACAGACUUUGCUGCCCUUUGGAACAAUGCCAGAUGGAAUCCUAAUGAUGUUCUGUUGCUCUGCUUAAGGCUCAUCCUUUUAAAGGAGUUUGAGCAUUUUCAUCUCUGAUGGAUAUUAUCUUUUUCCAUAUGGAAAUAGCCCACUAUUAAAAAUGAAUAUGAAUGCAAUGAAAAUUUAUAUAUUG